rnacentral:rRNA from 1 species
UGGGGAAUCUUGGACAAUGGGGGCAACCCUGAUCCAGCCAUGCCGCGUGAGUGAAGAAGGCCUUCGGGUUGUAAAGCUCUUUCGGCGGGGACGAAACGGUCCGUGACAACACCACGGACUAAUGACAGUACUCGCAGAAGAAGCACCGGCUAACUACGUGCCAGCAGCCGCGGUAAUACGUAGGGUGCAGGCGUUAAUCGGAAUUACUGGGCGUAAAGCGUGCGCAGGCGGCUCCUUAAGUCAGAUGUGAAAUCCCCGGGCUUAACCUGGGAACUGCGUUUGAAACUGAGGGGCUAGAGUGUGGAAGAGGGGGGUGGAAUUCCAGGUGUAGCAGUGAAAUGCGUAGAGAUCUGGAGGAACACCGAUGGCGAAGGCAGCCCCUUGGGCUAACACUGACGCUCAUGCACGAAAGCGUGGGGAGCAAACAGGAUUAGAUACCCCAGUAGUCCCUGAGCGGGCUGGCAAGGCGCAU